AGUGCAUGUGGUGGAUGCCUUGGCAGUCAGAGGCGAUGAAAGACGUGAUAGCCUGCGAAAAGCUCCGGGGAGGCGGCAAAUAUCCUUUGAUCCGGAGAUGUCUGAAUGGGGAACCCACCUACUUUAAGGUAGGUAUUGCAACAUGAAUACAUAGUGUUGCAAGGCGAACGAGGGGAAGUGAAACAUCUCAGUACCCUUAGGAAAAGAAAUCAAUUGAGAUUCCCUCAGUAGCGGCGAGCGAACGGGGAUCAGCCCAUUAAGUUAUGUGUGUUUUAGUGGAACGCUCUGGGAAGUGCGAACGUAGAGGGUGAUAUUCCCGUACACGAAAGGGCACACAUAAUGAUGACGAGUAGGGCGAGGCACGUGAAACCUUGUCUGAAUAUGGGGGGACCAUCCUCCAAGGCUAAAUACUCCUGACUGACCGAUAGUGAACCAGUACCGUGAGGGAAAGGCGAAAAGAACCCCUGUGAGGGGAGUGAAAUAGAUCCUGAAACCGCAUGCAUACAAGCAGUGGGAGCACCUUCGUGGUGUGACUGCGUACCUUUUGUAUAAUGGGUCAGCGACUUAUAUUCAGUAGCGAGGUUAACCGUAUAGGGGAGCCGUAGAGAAAUCGAGUCUUAAUAGGGCGUUUAGUUGCUGGGUAUAGACCCGAAACCAGGCGAUCUAUCCAUGAGCAGGUUGAAGGUUGGGUAACACUAACUGGAGGACCGAACCCACUGUCGUUGAAAAGCCAGGGGAUGACUUGUGGAUAGGGGUGAAAGGCUAAUCAAGCCUGGUGAUAGCUGGUUCUCCCCGAAAGCUAUUUAGGUAGCGCCUCGGACGAAUACCAUAGGGGGUAGAGCACUGUUUCGGCUAGGGGGUCAUCCCGACUUACCAAACCGAAGCAAACUCCGAAUACCUAUGAGUACUAUCCCGGGAGACAGACUGGCGGGUGCUAACGUCCGUAGUCAAGAGGAAAACAAUCCAGACCGCCAGCUAAGGCCCCAAAAUCAUAGUUAAGUGGGAAACGAUGUGGGAAGGCAUAGACAGCUAGGAGGUUGGCUUAGAAGCAGCCACCCUUUAAAGAAAGCGUAAUAGCUCACUAGUCGAGUCGGCCUGCGCGGAAGAUGUAACGGGGCUAAAACUAUGUGCCGAAGCUGCGGAUGUAUACUUUGUAUACGUGGUAGGGGAGCGUUCUGUAAGCCGAUGAAGGUGUGUUGAGAAGCAUGCUGGAGGUAUCAGAAGUGCGAAUGCUGACGUGAGUAACGACAAAACGGGUGAAAAACCCGUUCGCCGAAAGACCAAGGGUUCCAGUCCAACGUUAAUCGGGGCUGGGUGAGUCGACCCCUAAGGCGAGGCCGAAAGGCGUAGUCGAUGGGAAAAUGGUUAAUAUUCCAUUACUUCUGUGUAAUGCGAUGAGAGGACGGAGAAGGCUAAAUCAGCCUGGCGUUGGUUGUCCAGGUGAAAGGAUGUAGGCAUGUAUCUUAGGCAAAUCCGGGGUACUCUAUGCUGAGAUCUGAUAGCAAGCUGUACUUGUACAGCGAAGUGGUUGAUGCCAUGCUUCCAGGAAAAGUCUCUAAGCUUCAGUUACACAGGAAUCGUACCCGAAACCGACACAGGUGGUCAGGUCGAGUAGACCAAGGCGCUUGAGAGAACUCUGCUGAAGGAACUAGGCAAAAUGGUACCGUAACUUCGGGAGAAGGUACGCUGUUGUUGGUGAUGGAACUCGCUUCCUGAGCUGACGACAGCCGCAGAAACCAGGCCGCUGCAACUGUUUAUUAAAAACAUAGCACUCUGCAAACACGAAAGUGGACGUAUAGGGUGUGAUGCCUGCCCGGUGCUGGAAGGUUAAUUGAUGGGGUUAGCGUAAGCGAAGCUCUUGAUCGAAGCCCCAGUAAACGGCGGCCGUAACUAUAACGGUCCUAAGGUAGCGAAAUUCCUUGUCGGGUAAGUUCCGACCUGCACGAAUGGCAUAAUGAUGGCGGCGCUGUCUCCAGCAGAGGCUCAGUGAAAUCGAAAUCGCUGUGAAGAUGCAGUGUACCCGCGGCUAGACGGAAAGACCCCGUGAACCUUUACUGCAGCUUGACACUGAACUUUGACCUUACUUGUGUAGGAUAGGUGGGAGGCUUUGAAGCUGGAACGCUAGUUCCAGUGGAGCCGUCCUUGAAAUACCACCCUGGUAAUGUUGAGGUUCUAACUCUGUCCCGUGAUCCGGGACGAGGACCGUGUCUGGUGGGUAGUUUGACUGGGGCGGUCUCCUCCUAAAGAGUAACGGAGGAGUACGAAGGUGCGCUCAGCGUGGUCGGAAAUCACGCGUAGAGUAUAAAGGCAAAAGCGCGCUUAACUGCGAGACCCACAAGUCGAGCAGGUACGAAAGUAGGUCUUAGUGAUCCGGUGGUUCUGUAUGGAAGGGCCAUCGCUCAACGGAUAAAAGGUACUCUGGGGAUAACAGGCUGAUACCGCCCAAGAGUUCAUAUCGACGGCGGUGUUUGGCACCUCGAUGUCGGCUCAUCUCAUCCUGGGGCUGAAGCAGGUCCCAAGGGUAUGGCUGUUCGCCAUUUAAAGAGGUACGCGAGCUGGGUUUAGAACGUCGUGAGACAGUUCGGUCCCUAUCUACCGUGGGCGCUGGAAAUUUGAGAGGAUCUGCUCCUAGUACGAGAGGACCAGAGUGGACGAACCUCUGGUGUACCGGUUGUGACGCCAGUCGCAUCGCCGGGUAGCUAUGUUCGGAAGGGAUAACCGCUGAAAGCAUCUAAGCGGGAAGCCUACCUCAAGAUAAGAUUUCCCUAGGACUUUAUGUCCUCUAAAGAGCCGUUCGAGACUAGGACGUUGAUAGGUUGGAUGUGGAAGCAUAGUGAUAUGUGAAGCUGACCAAUACUAAUUGCUCGUGAGGCUUGACU
rnacentral:rRNA from 1 species